UUGGAAGUACACCCUAGCCUCGGGAGCCGGC
rnacentral:piRNA from 1 species